AUAAUCAUUUCCCAGAAGUGAUUAUAUUAGGAGUUUGAAAUGUAUGCUGAUAUGGGGAAAACAUGAUGCUAUGCUUUAAUGCUAUGUCAUGUAAUGUUCCAUUAGAAGGUUAGUUAUCUCUCUCUCACAGAGAAUUGAGAUAUACCGGUAAGCCAAUGGAGAAAAAUCAAAUUCAGAAAUGAUACGAAGUCAGAAACAUGUUAAAAAAAGUAACAGAAUAUGAAGAAGAGAAAAUAACUUGCGUUUUAGGAAGCUACCGAAAUUUUUACCAAUUCAGAAUAAGAAAUAACAAGCAAAUACCGUACAAUGUUAAAUAUGAAUAUAAAUGAGAAUAAGACACUGCUAUUGUGACACCAGAGCAUUCAGACUAGAAAAGAGUAUUGUGCUUGAUUAAAGAACAAAUUCUUAUAGAAAUGGACCCCAGUAGAACUGACACCAUCCAGGAAGGCAAAAAGUCAUGGGGUUCAAUUGUACAUAUACUUUGACGGACAUAUCUCGGUGCAAGUGUAAUUGUUUCAGAUUGAUCAGUUCUCGUUGCGUGUCCAAAUGGUGCUUAGUUUCUUAAGGUUUCUUCUUUAAUGGUUUUUCAUUCAAUCUGAAGCAAUUACCAAAGGUUUAUAUUUAUGCACACUUGUAUUCAUUCACUUACUCAAGUGCUUUGUAUGUAUAUAUAUCCUCAUCAUGUUUUCUGUAUGUUUCUGAUUUUCCAUUUUUCAUCCACAACAGUGUUGUUAUAUUUUUUUUUUGACUCUUGUUAAGUUUUUGUGGUUUUGUUUUUGAUUUCAAAAUGUGCAAUUUUAUUGAUUUGUUUUUAGAGUCUAAUUUGCUAACCCUAGUAUGGGAUAUUUUAUUCACACUGAGAUUAUAUAGAUUUAUUACAAUUUUGAUGAUUUUUAAGAGAGAUUGCAAAUUAUUUUUGAUCAUGACCUUUGAUUUAGGAAAUAAGAUUGUGCAAACAGUAUCAACUAUCACCUGCCAAAACGUGCCAUCAGUUUCCUUAACUGCCUGGACACAAGAUUCUUUUCUGGUGUUUUAUGUUUGCUUAUAAAAUGAAACUUUUUCAUUAAGUGCUAUUGAAUGUGUCAUUCUUUGUAUGUAGUACAUGUAUAUCAAAAUCAUCAAGUUUCUUUAAUGCUCAAGUUCAAAAAUUGUGUACUCCAUCAGUUUGUGAAAUCUUUUAUUUGAGCAGUUUUACAGUUUGUUACAUUUUAAUAACAAACUUGUCAAGAAUGUCUGAUAAUUGCCUUAUAUUGCCUAUAGGUGACAUUUUCCUCACAUUUUUAAUCCAAAAAUCAUUUAUAGAAUAUACCUCAGUCAUUCGAAAAUGACAAUUCAUGGAUGUGUUCUUUGUAAUAGACAGGCGUCUAUUGGAAGAUGAAUCUUAUGAUUUUUUUUACCGCAUAUACACUGGGUUUGAUCCAAUUUCAGCCACAUGUCGGAGCAUUAAAGCUACUUCUUUGUAUAUAUACUAUGUUUUCAUUUUCCAUGUAAUUAGUCUACACGGUUUACUUCAGAUGUGUACUCUAAAACGACGUAGUGUGUUUGAUACCAGAUUCAUUCAUAUUGAUUUUAUUUCAAAUUUGUUUGAAUUUUCAGAGUACUAAUAUUAGGAAAAUCUUUAUUAAUUAAAAAGUAAAUUUAAAGUUUGUAUUUUUCAGGAAAAAAAAUAAUAAUGCUUUAAAAAACCAUUUCUAAAAAUGUGUACGAAUAAAUGAACACUAAAAAAUUAAAGGUUGUGGCAUUAUGUUUAUUAUAUAUAUGGAUAGAAAUAAAUAAUGAUAAACCC
rnacentral:sRNA from 1 species